UACCCAUUUUUGUUUAUUCGAUUGUAAUUGUAUAAAUAAAUUCUUCCAAGUAAUUUAUGACAAUAUUUUAUUACCACUCAUAAUAUUUAAGCAUUAACGUAGAGUACCAUUCAUAAUAAUACCAUGUGAUUGUAAUAAUAUAAGUACUGUUCGGCAACUUAAGCUGCACAGAUCAAAGAGGAUAAUUUACAUCAAUAUUAAAAUUUUCGAAUAUACAAUUUAUAAAAAAUUCUUUUUGUGAUUUACUUACUGGAUGUAUUUUUUAAUGAAAAGAUUCACAAACAAAUACUACGUGAGAAUAAAACACAACUACUGAGGAAGUAUAAGUUGAAGGCAACAGUGUAUUAUAACCUUGCUUUAAAUUUUUAGUUAUAUAUUCGUUUACAGACUGAACAUAGUAAGAUUUACAGUGUAGCCUUUAUCGUAUAUUUCGUUAACCAUUAUAACAACCGUUAAUUAAUUAAAUAAACCAAGUAAACAUAUUGUGUGUUAAUGGAAAAUAUAUUGUUUAAUAAUACAUUAUCAAAUUAACAAUAUCUUUGCAUUAUAGAGUAAGUAAUAAAAUACAAGAAGUUAUUUAUAUAUACAAAAUGUCUCUAAGAAACUUAGUUGCUAAAAUGCAACUAACAGUAAAAUUUCAACAUAUCAAUGGGAGAAGGUACUUAGCAUCAAAAGCCAUAAGUAAUGUUCUUGAUUCGGUUGAAGAAGAACCAUUAUACGCGAAGAAUGACUCAGAAGACAUAGAACAAAAAAGAAAUAAAUCUAGAUUGAACCCUGGCCACAGAAAUAUAUUACAUGGUAGAAAACCUUACGAUGAACCAUUAACUUGGUUUCAUAAUACACUGAAAUAUAAAAGGAAAAUAUUGGGUAAAUAUGGCAUAGAGGCAUUAGGAGUAUCUGCAGGAUUGGCUUGGCCCACUCCCAAAGAAUUAGACGAUGCUGUAGAAUAUGAAAGAGUUGCGUUUCCAAUGACUCUCCAAGAAAGAUGGCAGAAGAUCAAAGAAGAAAAGAAGAAGAAAGAAGAUGAGAUAAUAGCUAGGCAAGAUUAUAUCGCAGCUAAAAUGUCUACCAUGAAUGAUUUAAUAACUUCGGUACAAGAAAAAAUUGCUAAGAAAGAAGCAGAAGCAGAAGCCGCUAGAAAGAGAAAGGAGAUUCGAUUAAUAGAAAUCAGGAAAAAAUUAAUGGCUAAGGGUGCCAUGACUCAAGAAAACGUAGAAGAAAUGUUUUUAAAAUAUGAGAAGGAAGAUAAGAAGAAAAGGAAAGAAGCCAAGAAACAACGAUAUAUUGAAAGGGAAUAUAUUAUGAAAUCUAAGGCGGCAGAGGCUAAGGAAAAAAAUGCAGUGGAAACCAGGGAAGGGUCACCAGCAACUGAAAAAUCUAUGGAAUAAAUAUUUUAUUCUAAGCGUAUUGUAUUUGAAAGGAAGUUUUAUAAAUUUCAUGUAAAUCUCGCGGCAGCAUCAUUAUCAAAGAAGUCAACUCUUGACCAUUAACGAUGUGUCAGAGUUCUCGACAUCAUCUGGAACUAUCAAUGACGAUUUUCCAUUGGUUUGAACGUCCCGAGGUCCAUUUUCUUCAGUGGCACUAUGAACAUCGCGACCGUCAGUAAUCUCCGCCUGAUCGCAACUUUGAAUAUUUUGUACGUGCAAUUCAUCAAUGACUAUUAAACGCAAUUUGUUUUUCUCCAUGUGUCAAGUGGACUGAAGUUGUGACGGAGAGGACAAUUCAUAAAAUUGAAAGUUUAAUUCUUCUCCAAAGAGAUUUUCUGGCGUAAUGAUUUCUGGUUCAACCAUAUUUAAGCCUAAGGUCGUUGGAUUGAGAUCGGUGACUAGAUAUCCUUCACUUAUGAGUCCACAUUCCUCUGCUAACACCUCUUUAGAAACUGGAUUAAGGAAAUCUAUAAAGAUAAUGAAGCUCCUGCGUCUGUUGAUUGGUUUGCGUCGAAUCGUGUUCAUUGUUGGACAUCAUCAUAGGAAUUAAAUACUGUACUUCUACUUCCUUCUUGAUACCACUGAGUAUUUGUUCCGCGCAGUGUUCUAAUGUCACAGAACUGACCAUGUUCUCUGCCUCUUCCCCUGAAGUAGGUUGAGUGAUGCUAGCAGUAGCUGCUUCCACUUCGUCAAUAGGAUUUAUAUGACUAAAAGGAAUUUCAAUAAAUGAUGCUGCUACGAUUACUCUAUACUAGGCUUGUCCAACCAACGAUCCACGGACAAUAAGUUACCCAAGACAGUUGUAAAUGUAGCCCAACAAAAAAUCAUAAGCUUGCAAACUUUAUGGGAUUGCGACUAAAAGACUCUCACUUGUGAUCACAAUUUCAGACCAAAGAUGAAUGACACGAGUGAGACUCAAAGUCACAAUACGAGUGAGAUAUCGGUUGCUAUAAUUAAAUUAUCUAAAAUUAAAUAAUUAAGUAUUCUAUUAAUUUAUGUGUGGCUCUUAACAAUCUGUCUUCUCCCAACAAGACGCAGAGAAGCUGAAGGUUGGACACCUCUGUUCUAUACACUAUAAUUAAGUGUGAUAAACACCUAAUGCUUCUUUGAGAAUUUUCAAUCUCAGGCAACUUGGUACUUUGCUUCAUAGAGGAAUUGGUAAUUUGUUUAGGUUUGGAGUCUAUAGAUCGAUUCGCAAUGGCCCACAAGUGACCAGCCCCGUGUGGUGCUUUUGAUCCUUUUCGAAAAUGAGGGUUUAUGGACAGAUUGUGCCGCACAGAGUUCUUCCAACGAUCGUCAUUGCUCUUGUAAUAAGGAAAAUGUUCACUGAAAAAGGAAAAGUAUUACGCAUUAGGAAAGUAAAUGGUGUUAUUGUAUAAGAAGUCACUGUAACACAUUUUAUAUAACUAUAUUUAAAUAAUUUACAAAGACAUGGUAACACUAUAAUCUAAUGAAGUGUGCUAUUUCUAGAGAAAUAUCUUAUCUAUGUACCCUUUAAGCGUUUUGCAUAAUGAUGAAUGAUUAAGUAA